GAUUAUGUAUCUUGUUGAUUUUUAGUUUUUUAAAGAGGUUAUGAGUGAAAAAUAAUUUUUUGUAAAGGAUAAGUAAUUUUUAAUGAAAAAAAAUAUAAACUAUAAAUAAAAGUACUGUGAAGGAAAGAGAAAUAAAAAAAUAAAAAAUAAAGAAAAAAUUAAAUUUUGUACCUUGUGUAUAAGGGAGGAUUUAUAUAGUUAAAGUAACAUUAGGAUCUCGAAAAAGAAAUAGCUAAUUUUGUAAAAGAGUUUUUAUAGGAUAAAAAUUUUAAAUAUAAAAUUAGAGAUGAGAUGUUAAACGAGUUUUGUUAUAUCUAGUUUUUUAAAAGGGGAAUUAAAUUUGGUUUUUAUUAUAUAUAAUAACAUAAAAGUAUAAAAUAGAAAGGGUAAGCUUUUUAUUGUAGAAGAUGAAAUAGAAAAAUAAAUUUAAUGGAAAAUAAUCUAAGCUUAAAAGUAGCUAAGUUUUUAAAGUGUUUUAACUAAAUUAUCAGAAAUAAAAAUUUUAUUUUCUUUUCUUUAAUAUUAAAGAUUUAUUAAAAAUAUAGAAUAAUAAGAUAAAAUGAUUUUAUUAGUAGAAAAUUUAAUUGUAGGAAAUAAGUGAAGAAUGUAGAUUAAAAGUAUUAAAAAAAUAAGGUAGGGUAAAGGAAUUCAGUAAAAUAUUUUCUUGCCUGUUUAUCAAAAACAUGUCUAUUUGGAGUUAUAAAAAGUCUAGCCUGCCCGCUGAUUUGAUAAAGUGGAUUUAAGGGCCGCGGUAUUAUGACCGUGCAAAGGUAGCAUAAUCAUUAGGUUUUUAAAUGGGAUCUUGUAUGAAUGGUUGGACAAAGGAGAAGCUGUCUUUAAGAUAAAUAUUUAAUUUUACUUUUAAGUGAGAAGGCUUAAAUAUUUUAGGGGGACGAUAAGACCCUAUAAAGCUUUACAUUAUAAUUAUAUUUGAUUAAAUUUAAAUAAUAAAAAUUUAAUGUAGUUAUUUGUUUUGUUGGGGAGACAAGAGUAAAAAUUAUAUUAACUACUCAACAAAUAAACAUUUAUUGAUGUGUUUAAAGUUUAAAGAUCCUAUUUGUGUAUAGAUUAAAAGAUUAAGUUACUUUAGGGAUAACAGUGCCAUUUUUUUUAAGAGUUCAUAUCGAAAAAAAUAGUUUACAACCUCGAUGUUGAAUUAAAAUGUCUUUAUAAUGUAGCUGUUAUAUAAGAAGGUCUGUUCGACCUUUAAUUUUUU
rnacentral:rRNA from 1 species